GUGCCAGCCGCCGCGGUAAUACGUAGGGGGCGAGCGUUGUCCGGAAUCAUUGGGCGUAAAGAGCGUGUAGGCGUCCCGAUAAGUCCGCUGUGAAAGUCCAAGGCUCAACCUUGGAAAGCCGGUGGAUACUGUCGGGCUAGAGUCCGGAAGAGGCGAGUGGAAUUCCUGGUGUAGCGGUGAAAUGCGCGGAUAUCAGGAGGAACACCUAUAGCGAAGGCAGCUCGCUGGGACGGUACUGACGCUGAGACGCGAAAGCGUGGGGAGCAAACAGGAUUAGAUACCCUCGUAGUCC
rnacentral:rRNA from 1 species